GGAUAACACUGAAGAUGCUGAUGCUUCUGUUGCUCCUGGGGCCAACAGGUUUUGGGCUUGGGGCUCUUGUCCUUCAACACCCAAGCAGGGCCAUCUGUAAAAGUGGAUCCUCUGUGAAGACUGAAUGUCGCUUUGUGGACUUGCAGGCCAUAGCUGUGUUUUGGUAUCGUCAGUUACCGAAACAGAGCCUCAUGCUGAUAGCCACUUCUAACUCGGGCUCAAGAGCCUCAUAUGAGCAGGAUUUUCCUGAGGCCAAGUUUCCCAUCAGCCACCCAAACCAGACCUAUUCAACUCUGACCGUGACCAGUGCUCAUCCUGAAGACAGCAGCUUCUACUUCUGUGGGGCUAGUGACACAGUGCUUGAUAGAAAUCAGAGAGCCAGGCAAGAAUAUUUGUAG